rnacentral:rRNA from 1 species
UAGGGAAUCUUCGGCAAUGGACGGAAGUCUGACCGAGCAACGCCGCGUGAGUGAAGAAGGUUUUCGGAUCGUAAAGCUCUGUUGUUAGAGAAGAACGUUGGUAGGAGUGGAAAAUCUACCAAGUGACGGUAACUAACCAGAAAGGGACGGCUAACUACGUGCCAGCAGCCGCGGUAAUACGUAGGUCCCGAGCGUUGUCCGGAUUUAUUGGGCGUAAAGCGAGCGCAGGCGGUUCUUUAAGUCUGAAGUUAAAGGCAGUGGCUUAACCAUUGUACGCUUUGGAAACUGGAGGACUUGAGUGCAGAAGGGGAGAGAGGAAUUCCAUGUGUAGCGGUAAACUGCGUAGUUAUAUGGAGGAACACCGGUAGCGAAAGCGGCUCUCUGGUCUGUAACUGACGCUGAGGCUCGAAAGCGUGGGGAGCAAACAGG